rnacentral:tRNA from 1 species
GCAGUGGUGGUUCAGUGGUAGAAUUUUGCUUUCAUGCAGGAGACCCAGGUUCGAUUCCCAGCCAGUGCA